rnacentral:rRNA from 1 species
GACGAACACUGGCGGCGUGCCUAAUACAUGCAAGUCGAGCGAAUCAAUAGGAGCUUGCUCCUGUUGGUUAGCGGCGGACGGGUGAGUAACACGUGGGCAACCUGCCUGUAAGACUGGGAUAACUUCGGGAAACCGGAGCUAAUACCGGAUAAUCCUUUUCCACUCAUGUGGAAAAGCUGAAAGUCGGUUUCGGCUGACACUUACAGAUGGGCCCGCGGCGCAUUAGCUAGUUGGUGAGGUAACGGCUCACCAAGGCGACGAUGCGUAGCCGACCUGAGAGGGUGAUCGGCCAAGCUGGGACUGAGACACGGCCCAGACUCCUACGGGAGGAAGCAGUAGGGAAUCUUCCGCAAUGGACGAAAGUCUGACGGAGCAACGCCGCGUGAGCGAUGAAGGCCUUCGGGUCGUAAAGCUCUGUUGUUAGGGAAGAACAAGUAUCGGAGUAACUGCCGGUACCUUGACGGUACCUAACCAGAAAGCCACGGCUAACUACGUGCCAGCAGCCGCCGUAAGAC